AGAGUUGAUCCUGGCUAGGACGAACGCUGGCGGCGUGCUUAACACAUGCAAGUCGAACGGAAAGGCCCUGCUUUGUGGGGUGCUCGAGUGGCGAACGGGUGAGUAACACGUGAGUAACCUGCCCUUGACUUUGGGAUAACUUCAGGAAACUGGGGCUAAUACCGGAUAGGAGCUCCUGCUGCAUGGUGGGGGUUGGAAAGUUUCGGCGGUUGGGGAUGGACUCGCGGCUUAUCAGCUUGUUGGUGGGGUAGUGGCUUACCAAGGCUUUGACGGGUAGCCGGCCUGAGAGGGUGACCGGCCACAUUGGGACUGAGAUACGGCCCAGACUCCUACGGGAGGCAGCAGUGGGGAAUAUUGCACAAUGGGCGGAAGCCUGAUGCCAGCAACGCCGCGUGCGGGAUGACGGCCUUCGGGUUGUAAACCGCUUUCGCCUGUGACGAAGCGUGAGUGACGGUAAUGGGUAAAGAAGCACCGGCUAACUACGUGCCAGCCGCCGC
rnacentral:rRNA from 1 species